GGGCUGGAAGCUCAACGGUUGAGCAGUGGUCUGAUAUGCCACCGGUUGAGGGUUCAAGUCCCUCCCGGCCCA
rnacentral:tRNA from 1 species